UUCGUCCCCGGUAGCGUGGCGUCCGGGUGAGUAACACGUAGGAAACCUUCCCUAGAGAGUGGGAUAACGUUCCGAAAGGGACGCUAAUACCGCAUAAGCCCACGACCGCUUCGGCGGAUGAGGGAAAAGAUGGCCUCUGUAUACAAGCUAUCACUUUGGGAUGGUCCUGCGGCGCAUCAGCUAGUUGGUAGGGUAAUGGCCUACCAAGGCGAAGACGCGUAGCUGGUCUGAGAGGAUGAUCAGCCACACUGGCACUGAAACACGGGCCAGACUCCUACGGGAGGCAGCAGUGGGGAAUAUUGGACAAUGGGCGCAAGCCUGAUCCAGCCACGCCGCGUGAGUGAUGAAGGCCUUCGGGUUGUAAAGCUCUGUGGGGAGAGGCGAAAACAGUCAUCAAGAAACGGAUGAUUCUUGACGGUAUCUCCUUAGCAAGCACCGGCUAACUCUGUGCCAGCAGCCGCGGUAAUACAGAGGGUGCGAACGUUGCUCGGAAUUACUGGGCGUAAAGCGCGUGUAGGCGGACCGGUAAGUCAGAUGUGAAAUCCCUGGGCUCAACCCAGGAACUGCAUUUGAAACUGCUGGUCUAGAGUAUCGGAG
rnacentral:rRNA from 1 species